UCCAAUCUUUGUGACAAGUAAAAGUGUUCUGAUAUGUAAUUCUGUGUCAUUGUCAUCUGUCAUGUUAUCAGUAUUACCAGUUUUCGUCAUCGGAAUUUCGUAAUAGUUGCUUCAGUCACAGUUUCGAGUUCUUUUUGUAAAUAUACUAAUAUAAAAUUGCCUAAAGACUAAGAUACCUGUUACAGGCAAUAGGUGAGCUCCUUGUUGAUAUUUUUUUCUUGCCAGCCUGCUCAAAAACAAAGCAAAAUUUAACCUUUCUUUGUGGAUUGGAAAGAUGGACAUCAUAAAUGGAAACAAGUUGAGCAAGUUUCCAUAAGCAAGAAAAUCAAGCUGGGGCCAAAGGGAAUUGUUUGCCUAAUAAACAUAAUAGUCAAUUGUUACUAGUCAAACAUGACUGUUUUGUCAAACAGCCAUUGGAUCCUAAUGUUUCCCUGUCUGUUUGUUCUUGCAGGUCAGCUUCUUUUCGUUAACUCCGACGUCAUCCAGGAAUUCUUACCUCGAGGAGUAAGUGCUUACGGCGAUGGUCUUGAAAAUGGUCAACUUCUUCAUAUUCCUCUAGGUGAUGGUGAUGUAAACCAGUCUUUGUUGUUUACGUAUUUCGCCAAUGUAACUAAAGGGUGUUCCUGGACUAAUGUCACGUUAUUUCUACGACACGAUGGGUUACCAAUUGUCAAUGUCUUUAACGCGAGCUAUCCUAAUUUCACUUGGGUUUAUCAACCCAUCGACUACGAAGAAAACUUCCUCAGUGAUGGCCUACAGCAACGGUUGACAAUUCAUCCUCGCCAACCUUCCUCUUCGGUUAUCUUCGGAGUUGUAUUUUUUUUAGAAGAUGCUGCUCGCAUCCAACAGCAAGGAUUGACCAAGUCAUGCACUACUCUAUUUUGGGGUAGAGUUGAAACUCUACCCCUUAACGUUAGUUCAAUAUCAGUUAGCGAGCGUGUUGACGAGACGGCCGCGAAGCUCGUGAGGAAAAACUAUGUCCAACCGCUCAGUGCUAAAUGGGUUUUAGAUCACAAUAAAGGAGACGAUAACAUAUCGGCCAACACAGAAUCCAUUCUUGAUCUCAAAUCCAGUGAUAUUCCAACUUUUCUAUCAUGGACAAUUUUAUCUCCUACGGAUAUAGGAGGAACAUUACAAGUCGAUAUUAAAUUCAAUCAGGACGAGCGGAACAGUAGCGUAUUUGGCUAUCUUGCUUUUGGUACGCAAGAAAACCCCAAUAGAACUCAAUUUAGUGCCAAUAGCUCCGAGGUGAUUCCAAAGGCCACUAUCAUUGUUCCUUACCCACUGGCAGGCGUAUGGUAUUUGUCUCUCUUCGCAAACUGCACCGAAUGGAAUGAGUCCGACUGUCAACGGAACAUUUCCGUCAAAGUCCAGAUUUCUUUAUCGCCGUGUAAAGAGGGAGCGUGCGGACCUCAUGGUCGCUGCAUCCAAUACUUUUCUGCCGGACUAAUUUAUUCUGCUUGUGUUUGCUCUAGUGGUUUUGCUGGUUGGAGUUGUAGUGAUGGAUCAAACGCUCUAUCUACUGCAAUACUGCUAACGUCCGUCCUUCUCCUAACGUUGAGCAAUCUCUUUUUCAUUCCAGCAAUCUUUCUAGCAUUUCGGAGAGGUUUCUAUUCACAGUGUUUACUUUAUUUCGUGACAAUGUUUUUCUCUUCGUUUUACCACGCUUGCGAUCAACCGGAGUUCAAUUUUUGUCUAAUGCCAUACACCGUUCUGCAGUUUGGCGAUUUCUACUCGGCUUUAACUUCAGUUUGGUUAACUGCUUUCAUUGUAGCCAAUCCAAGCGUUAGUGAAGAGAUUUCUAGCGCAAUGUGUAUUGGUGGUGCUGUUGGAAUAGCUAUGGCAGUGCAUUACAAUUCAACGUCAUUAGCAUCAUUUACUAUACCAAUCGUUUGCGGCCUUGGUCUCAUUGCUAUCUGCUGGACUCGUCAGAGCUGUCAGAUGCACAAGUGUUACCCUGGAAAGUCCUACUGUUUGAAGGCUGUGCUCCCUUGCCUAUUAUUUUCCAUUGUUGGAUUAGUUUGUUUCGCAUUCCUCGAAACCGAAGACAACUACUUUUAUGUCCACAGCAUCUGGCACAUUUCGAUUGCUCUGGCCAUUGUAUUUGUUAUUCCGCCAGAGGGUAAGAAAUUCGACAUCACAAAACCUCCGUCCAUUGAUCACGAACCUCUCUCACUCUGAUUGGGUAUCCAGACUUGCAUUUAAGUUUCGUUGUUUUCAAUUUCUAAUUAAAUGGAUACAACGGUAAAUCAUGCAUUUACACUAACCUUUGUUUUAUAUCCUGUCACACAAAUUUUCUCUAUAUUUCUUUAUCAUAAAUUUUCCCUAUUGAAUAUGUUUAAUUUCAGUAUUUUUCUUGUAGAUUAUCUUGUGAAGGCCGGAAGAGUAAAACUUGCGCUUUUUAAUGUAAAAAUUAGACGCAUCCACGAUCAUUUUUUAUUCUUUCAAGAAAUAUAAAGAAAGGUUUGACCUUCAGCGCAUAAAAGAAAAAAAUAUAUUUGAAGGCAUGGAAAGUCUGGAGGUUGCGGGAGGUUGAGAGAGAAAAACGUUUACGUCCAGCCUUCGUAGUUGCAUUUCAUUUUCGAAUUCUCAGUUCUUUGAGAAGGUUGUGGUAACUUAGUUUUUUUUUAAGGGAGUUUCUUACAUUAUCCCACAGGAAGCCUUGAAAAGGCUCGCCCUGAAGCGGCAUGUGUCAUUUUUCUUAACAAAAUUUGUGUUAAAGUUGCGUCUGCUGUCGUCUGCUGUGAACCACGUGUUUACUGUUUCACUCUAGAGCAUUGUAGAGUAGGCAGAGUGCAGUAGAAGAGAGAGACUGGACAUUGAAAGUCUGUUAUUUGUGUUGAUCUUGUAUUUUUAAGUGAUGGCGAAGCGUAACUCGGGUCAUUUUGAACCGUUUCCAUAUAAUCAUGAAUACUACGCACUCCUUCGUAUUAAAGAGAAU
rnacentral:misc_RNA from 1 species